AACGAACGCUGGCGGCAGGCUUAACACGUGCAAGUCGAGCGCCCCGCAAGGGGAGCGGCAGACGGGUGAGUAACGCGUGGGAAUCUGCCCAUCUCUACGGAAUAACGCAUGGAAACGUGUGCUAAUACCGUAUACGUCCUUCGGGAGAAAGUUUUAUCGGAGAUGGAUGAGCCCGCGUUGGAUUAGCUAGCUGGUGGGGUAAAGGCCUACCAAGGCGACGAUCCAUAGCUGGUCUGAGAGGAUGAUCAGCCACACUGGGACUGAGACACGGCCCAGAGUACGACGGGAGGCAGCAGUGGGAAAUAUUGGAAGACGGGCGCAAGCCUGAUCCAGCCAUGCCGCGUGAGUGAUGAAGGCCCUAGGGUUGUAAAGCUCUUUCACCGGUGAAGAUAAUGACGGUAACCGGAGAAGAAGCCCCGGCUAACUUCGUGCCAGCAGCCGCGGUAACAC
rnacentral:rRNA from 1 species